CUGGAUUAAAAUUGAAAGUUCAUAUAUUAAUGGUUGUGAACUUUGUUAGAUGAUGCACAGAGAAACAGCUGUGUUAAUGCAGCAGCGGCCAGACAACCGUGGAGAUGGAUCCACGGAUGAGUUGCUUAAUUAUUAUGCAACUUGUCCACUAAUUCCAUCUUACAUUU